UGUUCGAGCGUCAUUAUGACCAAUCAAGCUCUGCUUGGCCUUGGGGCCCGCUGUACCGGCGGCCCUUAAAACCAGUGGCGGUGCGUCUGGCUUUAAGCGUAGUAAUACUUCUCGCUAUAGGGUCCAGUCGUCCACCGGUCAGAACUCCCCAACUUUCUUAGGUUGACCUCGGAUCAGGUAGGGAUACCCGCUGAACUUAA
rnacentral:misc_RNA from 1 species